UACGUAGGGGGCAAGCGUUGUCCGGAUUUACUGGGCGUAAAGAGCGUGUAGGCGGUUUGGUAGGUCCGCUGUGAAAACUCGAGGCUCAACCUCGAGACGCCGGUGGAAACCAUCAGGCUAGAGUCCGGAAGAGGAGAGUGGAAUUCCUGGUGUAGCGGUGAAAUGCGCAGAUAUCAGGAAGAACACCCGUGGCUAAGGCGGCUCUCUAGUACGGUACUGACGCUGAGACGCGAAAGCGUGGGGAGCGAAGCAGG
rnacentral:rRNA from 1 species